CGAAAGCUUCUCUCUCACCAACAGAAGCUGGUUCUGUAAAAGAUAUUACCUCAUCCACAUUGUACCCUGAAACUAUUCGUGAAUUGACAUAAAGAGUUAUGGCCAUUCACAAAAUGGCUGGAGGAAGAGCUGAUGGUGCUGCUGCUUCUGCUGCCUUUUAGCCCAGUGGUGAGGGCACUCAUCUGAGAUGUGGGAGACCCACUUUGAAUCCCUGCUGUGGUACAGACCCAAUUGUGACUUUUUCGCUUCACCAAAAAAUCCAAACAAUUUCUGAGUUGGUUCCUUCUAAAUUGAUUUUUCAGACUGUACUUCUUGUUGCUUUCUUGCAAUAAGAUACGUGAUGACCUCUUGUUUGUACAUAUGAAAGAGCCUGUGACAGCUAUAGGGCCAGACUGUGCCCUACAUAUGUUACUAAGAGAUGGAGAAACAGCAAGGAGACCUCGUAACCACAGGGAUGGCACCCCAGGAAGUGCUAGCCAACCUCUAAUACCAGCCAGUGGAGCUGGCUAGCCACACACACACACACACACACACAGAGAGAAUUCUGUGCAGGGUGUAAGAGCAGGCUUUUCCCUCCUCUUGCCAGGGAAUUCCAGGAGGUAACAUGUAAUGCCUCUGUAUACCUGCAUAAGAGAUGCAAUACUGCACCGCUCCCAAUGCAGGCUUGUGACUAGAGCAACAGGAGACAUCAUAGUAUGGAAUAUAAAAAUUGUGAGCCCAAUUGUUCAUAUUUGGUCAAAUCUAGUAGACUGCUGUAUAUUGAAUUAAUAAUCCAUCUUUUGAGACAGGAAAUUCAGAUCCAAUCUACUGUUAUUACUUAAUAAACUACACCUAAAAGGCUGAUAACUAUAAAUAAAUAUGCUAGUUUAUAUACAGACUAAUGAUGCAUGAAUAGAAAUGGAAUUAGAGAUGGAAUUCCUAAAUUCAUUUCCUGUGUCUCUUAACAACCCACAAUAAGUUCUUGUACUUCAAUGGGAUUUGGAUCAGGCUUGAAGUCAAUGGAAAUCUCUCUCUUAACUUCAGUGGAUUUUGGGUCCUGCUCUUAAUCUGUCUGAAUUUCCCAGUGAGUGAUUGUUCCCUGCCUUCCGCUUCGUGUAGUCAUUUACAUCUAUCCAGAAUGAGUGCGAAGUCAGUGUAAAACAAAAUCAUCCUGAUUUGGUCGCAUUUAUGCUUCCUCUGCCUGUGUGUAAAUGAUUACACAAGGUGCAAGAUAGUGAAUAAUCAGGCUCAUGAAGACUCUUAGUUACAAAAGGGAUAAUGCUAUUUUGCUGUUGUUGUGAAACUUAGUUAAAGGAACAUUAUUAGUUACUAUCAGAAUAUGUAAAGCACUAUAUAAGUAAAUAUUAUUUAUAAAAUAGAUAACUGAAUAGUGGCAUAGGUCAACCUAGCUAAUAUUUUUUUUGGAAUUGUAUUCCAGUCCACAAAUUAUGAAAUCACCUUAUUACAGCAUAUUAAAUAAUAUAAAAUAUUAUUUGUUUAGUUAUUGCAAUUAUCAUGAGUGGGGUCCACUGUUAUUCAUGGGACAAUUAUUCAUUGUUCAUGAAAAUUCAAAUUGCCAACCACUUUAAUUAUGGAAAUGUGCCCAAAUUCAUGUUCCAAAUAAAAUGUGAAUGAUAAUUUGUUUAAAAUUAGUACCAGAUGUGAAUUACUCAUCAUUCUCCCAUUUUUCAAAAGUGUCAAUCAUCUAAUGAGGGAGCAGAAAAAUACUUUAUAACUUAGGUGAUCAGUUGCGCACCUUACAUACAGCUAAAUUAAGCUAUGAUUUUCAAAAUGAGCAAGUUGUGAUCAACAACCUGUUGAAAUUUAUUCAUGCAAAUUAUUUAGAAAAUAUUUACAAAUACCCAAUACAUUAGUAGAAAUUCAGUUUCCCAGUGAUUUUGAACAAGAAAAAUAAAAGGCUAAAUUUGCCGGAUAAUUUAUUCAUAAUGAGUAACUCAGUCAGCGGCACAUAUAACAUAGUGCAUUUGGAAUGAUCAUGCAGCAGAGCCAUUAAUUCCGAAAUAUGCCAUGUAAUUAUGCACUACAAGUAAUCAAAACAAAAAGGAUUAAAAACUGAAAGUAUGGUAUCAAGCAAUAACUUAAAUUAUAUUUCUAAAUGUGAGUGAGAGAGAACCUUAAUCAUGUCUUUAACUAUUAAGCAUAUUAGUCAAUAGAAAAAUGCAAAUAAAGCUAGAUUAUGAUUUAGCUAUGAAUAUGCAUUUUAAAAACACACUAAGUAAUAUAACUGAUAAAAUUAAUGUUUUCAGAUAGACUUGUUAAUUCACGUACAUAAAAGCAUGUACAUAUUUAUAAGUUUGGGUCGGCAGGGUUCUUUGUUGUUGGUUGUUUUGAAGAAUCUGUGUCUGUUAAUGUCAGAGGUUUCAGGGCAAGGGUAGGGUAGCUGAGACUGAAAUUAGAGUGCAGGAUAAAUCCACUGAAGCCUUUUUUCCCCCUCUCAGGGGCGGUUGUUGCAUUCCUCACUCUCCAGCAGUCUCUGACCCAACUCCUACUGAAGGUGUGUGGAUAUUUUUGGAUGUAGCUGGUGUGAUACUUAUUCUAGACUGAGUUACAGUAUAAAGAUUAAAGUUUGGCUUAUUUAUUACUGUCAAAUAUUAACAUAUAUGAUAUCAUAUUUCAGUCAAAUAGGCUGGGCACUUAAGACUACUUCAGCGACUGCACUGAAGUAGCCUCUGUAACUGCUCUAUUAGUUUAAGGAGACAAGGAUUGUUUCCUCCACCAUUCCCACGUUGGGGAUACCUAUUACCCAGCUGACUCACUGGGCCGUGUAAUGAAUACCUGGAUUUUGGCCCUCAGCAGUAAAUGUAUUUUAUUAUGUCUUCUACCUAUAAAGAGAAGUUGGGCAAGAUCCCCAGGAUUUUGGUGAGAAUGAAUAUGGGUGUGAUCCAGCAGUCAUUGAAAUCAAUGACAAUAUUUCUGUUAAAAGAAAAGGAGUACUUGUGGCA